rnacentral:ncRNA from 1 species
UAAAAAACUUUGAUCAGGGAAAGUAACUGGAAUAAUUUAUCUCAGCGAAGCAGGGUUAGUGAGAGCCUGCCGGUAAGUGUUUUAGUGAAGUUCCCCUGUGAGUUGUUAGCUGAACAAAAAAGUAAGCUUAUACCGGCUGUCUACCGUUAUCCUGACAGAUUAUUGGAACUAACUAAGUUUCUGUAAUUGUUGAGUGGGCUUUUUAUCAGCCAAAAAGAUUGGUACCACGAGAAUUCAAACCCUCGUUCUUUA